rnacentral:piRNA from 1 species
UGAGAGAAUAUUACCUGCGUGCACGCCC